UGAGAGAGCUUGUCCUCUGACUGGAGAC
rnacentral:piRNA from 1 species